rnacentral:rRNA from 1 species
AUUGAACGCUGGCGGCAGGCCUAACACAUGCAAGUCGAACGAGUGGCGGACGGGUGAGUAAUGUCUGGGAAACUGCCCGAUGGAGGGGGAUAACUACUGGAAACGGUAGCUAAUACCGCAUACCAUCGGAUGUGCACAGAUGGGAUUAGCUAGUAGGUGGUGUAACGGCUCACCUAGGCGACGAUCCCUAGCUGAUCUGAGAGGAGGACCAGCAACACUGGAACUGAGACAAGGUCUAGACGCCUACGGGAGGAAGCAGUGGGGAAUAGUGCACAAGGGGCGCAAGCCUGAUGCAGAAAUCCCGGGUGUAGGAAGAAGGCCUUCGGGUUGUAAAGUACUUUCAGCGAGGAGGCGUUACUCGAAGAAGAAGCACCGGCUAACUCCGUGCCAGCAGCCGCGGUAAUAC